rnacentral:tRNA from 1 species
CAAACUAUAGCAUAUAUAAUGCAUUUUAUUUACAUUAAAAUUAAAUUAAAUAUUAGUUUGA